UUCACUCAACAAUGGGUAUCGGAAAGGAGGUUCCUUUCCUAGAAACGAACACAAAAAAUCAUUUGUGUUCCCAGGAAGUAGGGGAGUCAAAAGGACUACUUAAAUCCCUACAACCUUAGGAAUCAUUUCUUUAUAAUACCCAAGUUGAGAACUUCGUGCACAGCAAUGUUCCAGAGAACUUAGGGGGAUCUUGGAUCGUGACGGAAUCGUGGAUACCACUUUCCGAAAAGAGUAUUUCGACCCUUAUAAGCCUUGGGUUACACGAAAUCUCUCCCCAGGAUAAGACCAUCACCACU
rnacentral:lncRNA from 1 species